GGGCUGGGGCUCAGUGGUAGAGAGCUUGCCUAGCAUGUGCGAUGAUCUGAGUUCGAUUCUCAGCAUCACA
rnacentral:tRNA from 1 species